rnacentral:ncRNA from 2 species
GGCCCCGGCCGUGACUGGCGAGGGUGGACAACCACCGGGGAGCGGCCGACAGACCCACGAUGCGCGCCGCCCGCCUGGGUGCCAGGG